CAGCCAGAGAGAGGAUCUGUGGAGGUAGGGGCUGGUGUCAUGACCUCCUGUUAGCCCUGCCACUAAGCGUUGGAGAAGCAAUCACCAGGACACAACAAUGAACAAGUCUCCUCCUCCUGCCUCAACCCAUCCUCUAUUAAAGACACCACCCCUUAA